rnacentral:rRNA from 1 species
GACGAACGCUGGCGGCGUGCCUAAUACAUGCAAGUCGAACGCAGUGGGGACGGGUGAGUAACAAGUGGGUAACCUCCCAUCAGAGGGGAUAAACCCUGGAAACAGGCGCUAAACCGACACUGAUGGAUGGACCCGCGGUGCAUUAGCUAGUUGGUGAGGUAACGGCGCACCAAGGCCACGAUGCAUAGCCGACCUGAGAGAGUGAUCGGCCACACUGGGACUGAGACACGGCCCAGACUCCUACGGGAGGCAGCAGUAGGGAAUCUUCGACAAUGGACGAAAGUCUGACCGAGCAACGCCGCGUGAGUGAAGAAGGUUUUCGGAUCGUAAAGCUCUGUUGUUAGAGAAGCGGUAACUAACCAGAAAGCCACGGCUAACUACGUGCCAGCAGCCGCGGUAAUAC